CUGAAUAUGGAGAGUUUGUUCGGAGUUUUAAUGCUCCUUCUGUUGAUGAGAAAUUUGAGCUGUUGGGCAUCAUGGCCAAUGUGUUUAUUGUUGCUCCUGAAAGCCUCGCCACUUUGUUUGAGGGUACUCCGAGUAUCAGGAAAGAUGCACAAAGGUUUAUUCAACUUCGGGAGGACUACAAGAGUGCAAAACUUGCUGCCAGACUCAGUUCUUUGUGGCCAAGGUCCAGUUAAGACAGGAUUGGUGCGCUGUAAAGGUAACCUGCCACUUCUCUUGG